rnacentral:rRNA from 1 species
UACGGGGGGUGCGAGCGUUGUCCGGAUUUACUGGGCGUAAAGAGCGCGCAGGCGGCUGGUCAAGUCCGAUGUGAAAGCUCCUGGCUUAACUGGGAAAUUGCAUCGGAAACUGAUCGGCUGGAAGGUGGGAGAGGUAAGCGGAAUUCCUGGUGUAGCGGUGAAAUGCGUAGAUAUCAGGAGGAACACCUGUGGUGUAGACGCUUACUGGACCAUUUCUGACGCUGAGACACGAAAGCGUGGGUAGCAAACAGG